rnacentral:rRNA from 1 species
CCUACGGGAGGCAGCAGUGGGGAAUUUUGGACAAUGGACGCAAGUCUGAUCCAGCCAUGCCGCGUGUGGGAAGAAGGCCUUCGGGUUGUAAACCACUUUUGUCAGGGAAGAAACGGCCUGGGUUAAUACCUUGGGCUAAUGACGGUACCUGAAGAAUAAGCACCGGCUAACUACGUGCCAGCAGCCGCGGUAAUACGUAGGGUGCAAGCGUUAAUCGGAAUUACUGGGCGUAAAGCGUGCGCAGGCGGUUAUGCAAGACAGAUGUGAAAUCCCCGGGCUCAACCUGGGAACUGCAUUUGUGACUGCAUGGCUAGAGUACGGUAGAGGGGGAUGGAAUUCCGCGUGUAGCAGUGAAAUGCGUAGAUAUGCGGAGGAACACCGAUGGCGAAGGCAAUCCCCUGGACCUGUACUGACGCUCAUGCACGAAAGCGUGGGGAGCAAACAGGAUUAGAUACCCUGGUAGUCCACGCCCUAAACGAUGUCAACUGGUUGUUGGGAGGGUUUCUUCUCAGUAACGUAGCUAACGCGUGAAGUUGACCCGCCUGGGGGAGGUACGGCCGCGAGGUAGAACGUACGAAGAAGUAGACGGCGUGAGACGUAGCCGACGGACGACGACGAGGGAGGAGGG